UACGUAGGGUGCGAGCGUUAAUCGGAAUUACUGGGCGUAAAGCGUGCGCAGGCGGUUUUGUAAGCCAGAUGUGAAGUCCCCGGGCUCAACCUGGGAAUGGCAUUUGGGACUGCAAGGCUGGAGUACGGCAGAGGAGACUGGAAUUCCUGGUGUAGCAGUGAAAUGCGUAGAGAUCAGGAGGAAUACCGAUGGCGAAGGCAGGUCUCUGGGCUGAUACUGACGCUCAUGCACGAAAGCGUGGGGAGCAAACAGG
rnacentral:rRNA from 1 species